AUUGAACGCUGGCGGCAGGCCUAACACAUGCAAGUCGGGCGGAGCGGCGGACGGGUGAGUAAUGCCUAGGAAUCUGCCUGGUAGUGGGGGAUAACGUCCGGAAACGGGCGCUAAUACCGCAUACUACAGGAUGAGCCUAGGUCGGAUUAGCUCGUGGGUGGGGUAAAGGCCUACAAAGGCGACGAUCCGUAACUGGUCUGAGAGGAGGAUCAGUCACACUGGAACUGAGACACGGUCCAGACUCCUACGGUAGGCAGCAGUGGGGAAUAUUGGACAAUGGGCGAAAGCCUGAUCCAGCCAUGCCGCGUGUGUGAAGAAGGUCUUCGGAUUGUAAAGCACUUUAAGUUGGGAGGCGUUACCAACAGAAUAAGCACCGGCUAACUUCGUGCCAGCAGCCGCGGUAAUAC
rnacentral:rRNA from 1 species